rnacentral:lncRNA from 1 species
GUAGAGGCGGAAGCAGAACGCACGCCGGGCGCCUCAGCUCGCGUCUGGAUCCGUUGGAGCUUUAGAGUCCGAGGACUUCAAGAGGCACAAGAAGCUGGGCUGGGUACCUACUUGAGUCUGAGAGCCCUUCGAGGAGACCCUAGAGAAGACCUCCGCCUUCUAAGCCAGCCCUCUUCCUCAAAACAGAUCGUGGUCUCCCAGCCUCGGUUUCCCCGUUGGUAGUUCUCAGCCCGUAUUAAGAGGAGGAUUUGGGGAUUUAAAGAACCUGGAGCAGGGCGGGCCUGGGGCUGAGAUGGGGUGACGGGACCCCACAACAGCUGGAGGAGGUCAGGAACUUCAGGAUGCCAGUUCAAAAUUCCCAGGCUCUCCUGAUAGCACAACUAAAGACACUCAUGAAAGAGGACUUCCAGAACUGCUUCAGGAAGUGGCACA